UUGCCGGGAAAUUGGGAUAAAAAGGAGCUGCAUCCUCCUGCUCUGCUCCAUCCUCCUGACAGCCCAGGGAGCCCCAGGAUCUGUGUGGGCUCAGCCUCCACUGCCUUUCCUCAGGGUUCUGUCCACCCUGGAGCUCUGCAGACCCUCCCAGUGCAGGACCCCCCACUCAGAGGGACCCAGCUCUGCCCCAGAAUCCCAGCCCACCCACAAUCCCAUGUCCUGAAAGGGAAUAAUUGUCCAAACUGGACAAUUCCAUAGGGAAGCUGUUCCCCCAUUCAGGGCUCUGUUGGACGUUGCCCUUUAGCGUUUGUUCCCUGGUUUUUCUUCUUCCCUUUGAUUAAAGGAAUUCUUUGUUGCUGAUCUCACUCUUUGAGAACCUGAAUCAACAACUCUCCAGCUUUCCUUCCUAUUCCUGACUGCUUUGAUGCUCUUAUGUUCUUCAAAUGAACCAGAAAUGCCCCAAAUAUUUAUUUCCUUUCUCCCUUUCUCUUUAAAAGACCUUUUGGAAAUCUGUGCACGUAUUCAUAUGAUUUGACCCAAAACACAGAUGUGGAGGAGCACCUGGAAAAGGAUUAGAGGCCAGAAAUUAAAAAUUCAUUCCUUUCUUCUGUUGUAUAAAUUAUGAUAAUUGAAAAACAAUUUUCCCCGAACUAGAAAGUAAAAGAAGGAGAAAUAUGCAUUUCCCCCCCCGUAGAUUCCACGUGGCUGCCCUGGCUCUAUUCAGGGGAAAGAGCCAUUCUGAUUUUACAUCACCAAAGGAUCUGCUUUAAUAGAUUUUCAUUUUCCUGAGCACUUUGCCCAGGUAUUUCUGUGCCAUGACUCAUUGCAGACUAAUGGCUGCAUUUUAAAAAUGACUCCCAGCUCCGCCAGCACCAUAAAGCUCAUUUCCAUCUCGUACCGCCCUGCACUCCCACAGAAAUUUUAUUGGGAUUUUUGUAAUAGAUGAAGAGAUAUCAAACAAUUCUCUUUAAAAUCCAGCAAACUGCUUUUGUCCUUGUUUUUAUCUCUGGCCACAGCUGCUCUCCCCCUCUCUGGCCUGGGCACUGCUGCCUUUCAGAGAAUCUUAUUCAGCAUAAAUCACUUUGCAGGGUCUGGGAUAUUCACAUCACACUGCAAAUCCAUUCUUUUCCACCUGCAAGGCAGUGCUGUGAGAGUUUUAAAGCAUUCAAUAACUGAUCAAUUCCAAUUUUUCACAAAAGGGAGACACAGCCCAGGUCCAUGGUGAGUUAAACAAGGGAGGGACCAGGCUGGGCUUCUGGUCACCACCUGAAUCGUCUUUUUUCAGGCUGUUUCUGCCUGCAAAACACAGAUUGCAGCAAAGAGCUGUUCUUGGCUGGUAAUUAACUGAGUGGAAAACAGGAAAUGAGAUUUGAAGUCCUUGACAACCAAGGACGGUCUCCAGGGUUGCCUCUUUGGCCUUUUCUUGGCUGAUGCCCCCAGGGAAUUCUGUCUCACCUGUGGCACAGCAGAAAGGGGGAACAUCCCUCACCCAGAGCCUGCCCGUGGUUUCCCAGGGGCUGCUCAUUCCUGGGAUGAGCUCUGCCCAAAUUCCUCCCUGGACGCUGCUCCUGAUCCAACAGGGGCUGGGGUGUGAACAGCCCUCCCUGCCCAGCCCCAGGAUUUUAGGGUGGAAUUGGUGAAAUUCCUCCCUGGACACUGCUCAUGAUCUAACAGGGGCUGGGGUGUGCACAGCCCUCCCUACCCAGCCCCAGGAUUUUAGGGUGGAAUUGGUGAAGUUUGGGGUGCCCUGCACCCAGUCUGGCCACAGCAGGAGGGAAAGUUUGGGGUUUUGCUCCCAAACUCUCCCAGCACCCACCAGCUCCUGGCUCUGGCAGAGUGGAACAUCCAACCCCUGGAAUCCCCAUGCUGGAAUUGGGAAUGUUGACUCAUGUAAUUGGGAAUAUUGACCCAUGGUUGGGAUAUCUCCUCAAGGAGUCCCUUCAGGUGUCCUUGGCUGGGAUAUCUCCUAAAGGAAUCCCUUCAGGUGUCCAUGGUUGGGAUAUCUCCUCAAGGAGCCCCUUCAGGCAUCCCUGGCUGGGAUAUCUCUUCAAGGAACCCCUUCAGGUGUCCCAUGGUCGGGAUAUCUAUUCCAGGAAUCUCUUCAGGUGUCCCUCCUUGAUAUCUCCUCAAGGAAUCCCUUCAAGUGUAUCUCCUCAAGGAAGCACUUUAGGUGUCCCAUGGCUGGGAUAUCUCCUCAAGGAAUCCCUUGCUUGGGAUAUCUCCUCAAGGAAUCCCUUCAGGUGUCCAUGGUUGGGAUAUCUCCUCAAGGAAUCCCUUCAGGUGUCCCUUGUUCAGGCACUGGAGGAUGAGGAAGGAAACCCCAAACCCCAGCCCCAGAUUUUUAGGUGAAGCUGUCGAUUUUUCCAUCCUUUCCCCCCUCAUCCUCCACCCCAGCCCCCGUGCUGAGCCCCAGGGCUCCUGAGUGCCUCUCCCAGCUGGGCAGGGCACACACAAACCCCGGGCUCACAGACACAGCUUUGGGAACACAAACCCCAUCCCCUCACCUGGCACUCCCCCAUCCUGUUGUGACCCCGAUAUCCCAGCUGAUAAACAGCUACAAAAAUGUUAAAUGUGCUCCUGUUGUUGGUUGGGAUAAAACAUGGUGCUGGUCAGUCUGGUGAGGCUCUGGGCAGUGUCACACAAGAAAUAACAAAAUUCCCAACUUGCAUCCUCAACUUUAAGCCAGCUCUUAGGUGAAAACGGGAGGAGGAACUUCGACCCAGCCUGACACAAAAUAUAAAUUAUUCCUAAAAAGAGAAAAAACCAAACCCCACAAGUAUUCCUCUAGAGAGACUUGUUUUCUCUUCUGCUCCUUCAUUUUUGCAGUGAAGAGGUUGUGAAAAGGUUCUUGGCUGCUCUGCCUGAGCAUCCCUCCCUGCCCCGGCGUGUUUGGGGUGAAGGAGGGCAGAGCCCUGAGCCCUUCUUAGGAUGAAGCUGAAGGAGAAGGGAAGGGAGACAGAACGUGGAAUCAAAAGCAUGGCCUUGGCUUCAUACCACACUUUCUGUGCCUUGUUCUAUCAAUGUAAAUUCUGAAUGUUGUACAGUGAAAAUACUUGGGAGAGACUCCUUGGAAAAGGCUGCACUGGCUUCUUUUUUCAGCACAUGUACAUAUAUAAAUAUAUAUACAUAUAUAUAUAUAUUUGGUAAUGCCAACCAGCUGUGUUCUAUUGUCCUGGAGAAGUCAAAGUGGACACUUUGGGUGUUUUCUGUGGAGUUUCAGAGCUGUGUGGCGCCGGCCUUUGGAGAGAGGUGUACAGAUGGGAGUUAUGGAUAUCAGCUAUUUAUGAAUAAAGAGUCUUUUACUGAC